UAAUUAUCGGGAGCAGUGCCUCCCAUAAUUA
rfam:Poecilia formosa, whole genome shotgun sequence.